UAAUUAAGUCAGUUGUUAAAGACUGCAGCUCAACUGUGGGAGAGCAACUGAAACUGGUUAACUAGAGUAUGGUAGGGGUAGAGGGAAUUCCUAGUGUAGCGGUGAAAUGCGUAGAUAUUAGGAAGAACACCAGUGGCGAAGGCGCUCUACUGGGCCAAGACUGACGCUGAUGGACGAAAGCUAGGGGAGCGAAAGGGAUUAGAUACCCCUGUAGUCCUAGCUGUAAACGAUGGAUACUAGGUGUUGUGCGUAUCGACCCGUGCAGUACCGAAGCAAACGCGUUAAGUAUCCCGCCUGGGGAGUACGCACGCAAGUGUGA
rnacentral:rRNA from 1 species